GCCAGUACGGAUGGUCUGGCAACAUGGAGAGAAUCAUGAAAGCACAAGCGUACCAAACGGGCAAGGACAUCUCUACAAAUUACUAUGCGAGUCAGAAGAAAACAUUUGAAAUUAAUCCCAGACACCCGCUGAUCAGAGACAUGCUUCGACGAAUUAAGGUAAUGAAGAUGAUAAAACAGUUUUGGAUCUUGCUGUGGUUUUGUUUGAAACAGCAACGCUUCGGUCAGGGUAUCUUUUACCAGACACUAAAGCAUAUGGAGAUAGAAUAGAAAGAAUGCUUCGCCUCAGUUUGAACAUUGACCCUGAUGCAAAGGUGGAAGAAGAGCCCGAAGAAGAACCUGAAGAGACAGCAGAAGACACAACAGAAGACACAGAGCAAGACGAAGAUGAAGAAAUGGAUGUG
rnacentral:lncRNA from 10 species